UACGGAGGGGGCUAGCGUUGUUCGGAAUUACUGGGCGUAAAGCGCACGUAGGCGGCUUUGUAAGUUAGAGGUGAAAGCCCGGAGCUCAACUCCGGAACUGCCUUUGAUACUGAAAAUCUUGAGUCCGGGAGAGGUGAGUGGAACUGCGAGUGUAGAGGUGAAAUUCGUAGAUAUUCGCAAGAACACCAGUGGCGAAGGCGGCUCACUGGCCCGGUACUGACGCUGAGGCACGAAAGCGUGGGGAGCAAACAGG
rnacentral:rRNA from 1 species